UGUGAAGGUCAGUUGAAGGUCAGUUGAAGGUCAGUGUGAAGGUCAGGGUGAAGGUCAGUGUGAAGGUCAGUGUGUGUGAAGGUCAGUUGAAGGUCAGAGUGAAGGUCAGUUGAGGUCAGUUGAAGGUCAGGGUGAAGGUCAGGUGAAGGUCAGUUGAGGUCAGUUGAAGG